UUCUCAUCUGUGUAUGAUCAGGAGUGGAAUAGUCUUCUCCUGGAUCCUAAGACCUUCAAACAAACUGCCAGUGUGUCCACAGACUCCCACCCCAACCCCAGCCAUAUUCAAGGCAACAUACAUGAGAGACAUGCCCUCCUUAUUGCCUUUAUUUAUUGGUAGCAUGAAGGCAGUGAGAUGUGAAGAGUAAGCAGAGAAGAAACAGGAGACCAACAAGGAAGCCACUGAGGAAAAGAAAGUCUAGGAGGUUUCAUUGGCUCACAAAUUGAGAGCUUGAGAGGAUCUCAGAGGCCAUCUUCAGCUCCUUCAUUUAGCAGACAAGGAUCCUGAGGCCCAGGGAGGCUGAGGGAUGUCUCAGGUUGGACAGGUACGUAAUGUCAGAAGUGGGAUUUGAAUGUCAGCCUUCUUACUCCCCAGGCAGUAGCAGAGCACCAUGCUGCCUCUGGGCAGCCUAGAUUUUAGGGCAGCCUUGAUUCUCAGACUAAUAUAAUGAUUAAUAGCCUAUUACUACUAGCUAGAUCUCCUUCUUGACUCCUUCCUCUCUCUCACUCACCAUAUCCAAUAAG